CCACCCAUGAAGAUGAGCCCCAGAGUCAGUGAUGCUCCAGUGGAAUUUGCCUUUUUCUGUGACUUGCAAAAGGGAUGUGAUCCUUCCUCUGGAAUAUGCCACAAGGAGUUCAGGUUCAUCUCAGGCCACCUGUCUUGCAGGACCCCUCACCCGGUGGACCCCCAUGUAGACAAGCUGCGGACUCCGAGGCAGGAAAGAGCAGCAACCUGAAGGUGUGUUCAGCUGAUGCAGACUCCAGUGACUGCCAACUCCGGGUGGAGUAGGACAAUCGCAACACUCACGAAAGUCUCCAUUUCAUGUUCUCAGGACUCUGAGUCAUCCAAGGCUCUAAAAUGAACACGCUCCCCAGGAGAGAAAGGACAUAAAACUGGAUUUUUAUUAUAAAUGGGUCACAGACUAUUGCGUACCUAACAGAAACAGGAGCCAUCAACUCACACAUCCCUUCCAAGCUAAUAUACAGUAUGGAUUUGCAAAUGAAACUGGUUUGUACCUGGACAUGCUGUGGACCACCUGGUGUGCUUUGUCUGAGGGAGUGGUGAGCCUUGGCAGACGGAGGGAGGGAUGAAGUGGCACAGCCAGUGCCAUGCAGCACCUCAGCAUGGUCGCUCUCUGCCAUCCGGCGUGCUAGGCUUCCCGCGCCAGGAGACACGGCGUUUUCAAGCUCUCCAAAAGUUCCAGUUAUCAAGAUCAAGGGCCUUCUAGCCACCUCCGUGCUGUCUUCUGCUGCCCAAGACAGAGCCGGGACAGUGCUACAACCACGGUGGGAAACUAACUUUUUAAAAAACAUCUUAAGAACUACAGACGGCAAAGGCUAACUUGGCUGAUGGGCCACUGCAGUACAGACCCGAGGGGUGCCCUGCUGUAAGCCUGGCUCCUCGGGAGUCAGGGACGCGGUGCCUGGGGGAACCAGGUACGUACGGAGCCCAGCCCCCUCCUUCUGGCCCUGCACUGGGCAAAUACAGACCCUCUGGAAAUCAGCAUGCCCGGCCCCGUUAAGCUGUGCAGAGUUGCACUCACUGAAGCAAAAUCAACAGUCUCAAAAGCCGAGCUCCCAAGGUGGGAGAGAGAUAAAUCACAGGUGGAGCUGCCGCCCUGCUGCCCACCCCCCGGCCCAGGCUGGUGGCAGCUGCCGAAGCAGGGCAAGGCUGAUUUCCACUGCAACCUUCGCCAAGCUGCCCUGAAUCGCUUUGCCCCUCUCCUCACCAAGAAGCAGGGGGAUCAUCUCGCUCCCCGUGCUUCAGCAGCGCAGCAGACUGUAGGCAGAGCAUUAAAUGCUCUGAAAGCGUUUUUACAGUGGGGAAGUGGAGACUCUGCAAACAGCUAAUGGGUGUAUUUCAAUUCCCUAUUAAUUGCAUAUUUAUUACUCGGCUGUUGCAAGGAAACGUCAUGUUACAUUGAUUAAAGCUUUGCAAGCUGUACAGUAAAUAUUUUAAACAAAAAAGGUUUUGAUCUCUGUUGCUGUUGGGAAGGGUGGGGGGAAGCUGCCAUUAGAGUUGCUAUAAUUAGCAAGCUCCAUUGCAGACAGUAUUUCCCACAGGCUCUGCAACAUGCUUUGUGUGUGUCUGCCUGUAUUUAGACAGAGUAUUAUUUUAUGUAUACGUUAUCUAUAAAUGAUAUAUAUUUUUAUAUGUAUCUCAUGUGAGAGGAAAAAGGGAGAGAAGCAGCAAGCCUGCUAUCUCACAUCUUGCAGACAGGAAAGGCAAAAGACUUAAAAGGCAGAAAAGAAAAGGGGAUUUCCGCACAUGGACUGAAGUUUGGCAGGGCAGAGGUGACCCGCCUGCUAGCCCUGCUGCCUGGACAAUGUUUAAUUAAGCCCUUGCCUGUACAUGCUUCUGUUACUUACUGCCAAGUCUCCGCACACAGGCUUUCGGUCUCCCUUGCUUGAUGGUGUCAGGAAUGGACCAUGUGUACGGGAAGGUUUCACUGGACAAGCCUUGUAAACAUCACCCAGACGUGGGGCAGAGAUGACCAUCCACAGACAUCCCGAGCUUCAUCUCCUGACCAUCUGUGUGGUGUCAUCAACGUCUCCCAACAGCAGAGAAAAAAUCCAGUCUGUAUUUCUGACAGACUGAAUCAUCUUCAUCUCUCAUACAGCCCCCACUCACCUUCUGCGCAAGAGGCUGCAAAAAAACCAAAACCCACAGCAAAACUACAGCGGCCAUAUGUGACCAGCUUUGCUCCUGUGCUCACUUCAAAGGUGCUCAGGCAUCGGUCUGGUCCCGGCCCACAGUGGCUGCAGGGACCCUGGCCCCAGCAUGGGACCCUCUGCCCGCUCCCCCUGUGCUGGCCGAGGGCAGCUCCCUCCUCCCCAGCUCUGCUCUUCUCAACAUUUGACAUGAAUUAGAGGAGACACCAGUCAUACCCAGCCAAAGAACCAUGGAUACCUGCCACAGGACAGGACAAGCUAAAAUGACACUAAUAUGGGAGAGACAGCUCCAACUAAUAAGUCCAGUGAUCUGCAGCUGAGCGGAGUCACGGGCAAACCAGAGGGGUAUUGCUGGGGGGGCUCAAACAGCCCAAGCUCGGCCACGGGGCUGAAAGACCAGCUCUAACACAAAGUAGUGCUGAGCUUUGGUAAACCUCUGAAGGGCCGAUACCCCCUGAAGAGAACAAAAUCGUUACUGUCUUCAAACCUGCUGGCUGUAAGCCCUAAGCCGGAGAGCAGUGCCUGGAGGAGGCUCCCAAACGCACUGUGUGGGAGGCAAUGCACCCAUCCCUCGGCGCGUGGGGCGUUCGGCAGCAUCACAAGUUGUGUCCAAGCCACUCUUCAGCUUCUAGACUGAGUUAGCAAAGGCUUGGUCGUAUCAUGCAAGUGUCUACAGAGUGAAUUAUUUCAUUGUGUAGCCCUGAGUGCACUUGUGGUUCUCUCUGUUCCCAUGUUGUUUUCCCAGAGGUUGUAGCUGCUAUAGGCAAACCGAUGGGCAAUUUUCAGGAACAAAAUUUGUUGUUGUCAAGUCUUGGGAGUUUAUUAAGCUGCAAUAUUUGACUUGGCUCAUUUCCUACAGUGGCUCCCUCUUGGAACUGUGUGAUUGCAGGGGAUGCAGCGGUUAUUAAGAGUAAAACAAGUUUCAAUCUCUUAUGAUUCUACGUGAAGGCUUGGAAGUGUGAACCUUCAAAGGCACAAAAUACAGAAAGCAAACCCAGAAAUUAUUCAGAAUGUAUUUCUUCAACAAGGGUUUUUGAAAUCCAUUUCAAAAUUCAAGGGACCUUACGUCUGAUUUUUGAAACAAAAGUUGGCAAUGCUAAAACUAAAUGAGCCGUAUUUGCAUCUCAC